rnacentral:rRNA from 1 species
GUUGUAUGGUUAAGUGAAUAAGCGUACACGGUGGAUGCCUUGGCAGUCAGAGGCGAUGAAGGACGUACUAACCUGCGAAAAGCUGUGGGAAGCCGGUAAGAGGCGUUAGACCCGCAGAUAUCCGAAUGGGGAAACCCAGUGCAUUUAUGCACUAUCGUUACAUGAAUACAUAGUGUAACGAGGCAAACCGGGAGAACUGAAACAUCUAAGUACCCCGAGGAAAAGAAAUCAACCGAGAUUCCGUUAGUAGCGGCGAGCGAACGCGGAGUAGCCCUUAAGCUACAUUGGUGUUAGUGGAAUACUCUGGAAAGAGUAGCGAUACAGGGUGAUAGCCCCGUACACGACAACACCUUUAUAGUGAAAACGAGUAGGACGGGACACGAGACAUCCUGUUUGAACAUGGGGGGACCAUCCUCCAAGGCUAAAUACUCCUGACUGACCGAUAGUGAACCAGUACCGUGAGGGAAAGGCGAAAAGAACCCCUGUAAGGGGAGUGAAAUAGAACCUGAAACCGUGUACGUACAAGCAGUGGGAGCACCUUCGUGGUGUGACUGCGUACCUUUUGUAUAAUGGGUCAGCGACUUACAUUCUGUAGCAAGGUUAACCGAAUAGGGGAGCCGUAGGGAAACCGAGUCUUAACUGGGCGAAUAGUUGCAGGGUGUAGACCCGAAACCGGGCGAUCUAUCCAUGAGCAGGUUGAAGGUUGGGUAACACUAACUGGAGGACCGAACCCACUAAUGUUGAAAAAUUAGGGGAUGACUUGUGGAUCGGAGUGAAAGGCUAAUCAAGCUCGGAGAUAUCUGGUUCUCCUCGAAAGCUAUUUAGGUAGCGCCUCGAGCGAAUACCAUUGGGGGUAGAGCACUGUUUGGGCUAGGGGGUCAUCCCGACUUACCAACCCCAUGCAAACUCCGAAUACCAAUGAGUACUACUCGGGAGACACACGGCGGGUGCUAACGUCCGUCGUGGAAAGGGAAACAACCCAGACCGCCAGCUAAGGUCCCAAAGUAAUGAUUAAGUGGAAAACGAUGUGGGAAGGCAUAGACAGCUAGGAGGUUGGCUUAGAAGCAGCCAUUCUUUAAAGAAAGCGUAAUAGCUCACUAGUCGAGUCGGCCUGCGCGGAAGAUGUAACGGGGCUAAAUCAUUCACCGAAGCUGCGGACUUGUGCUUGCACAAGUGGUAGAGGAGCGUUCUGUAAGCCGUUGAAGGUAGACCGGGAGGUUUGCUGGAGGUAUCAGAAGUGCGAAUGCUGACAUGAGUAACGAUAAGGGGAGUGAAAAACUUCCCCGCCGAAAGACCAAGGGUUCCUAUCCCAUGCUAAUCAGGGUAGGGUGAGUCGACUCCUAAGGCGAGGCUGAAAAGCGUAGUCGAUGGGAAACGGGUUAAUAUUCCCGUACCGACCAAUACUGCGAUGGGGUGACGGAGAAAGCUAGGCAAGCGCGGCGUUGGUAGUCCGCGUGAAAGUAAGUAGGCUGAGAGACUAGGCAAAUCCGGUUUCUUAAGGCUGAGAUACGAGACGAGUGUCUAAGGACACGAAGUUGUUGACGCUAUGCUUCCAGGAAAAACCUCUAAGCUUCAGGUAUUGGUGAUCGUACCCGAAACCGACACAGGUGGUCAGGUAGAGCAUACCAAGGCGCUUGAGAGAACUCUGCUGAAGGAACUAGGCAAAAUAGUACCGUAACUUCGGGAGAAGGUACGCUCUUUGCUGUUAAGGACUUGCUCCGUAAGCAGCGAAGAGUCGCAGUGACCAGCUGGCUGCAACUGUUUAUUAAAAACACAGCACUCUGCAAACUCGUAAGAGGACGUAUAGGGUGUGACACCUGCCCGGUGCCGGAAGGUUAAUUGAUGGGGUUAGCGCAAGCGAAGCUCUUGAUCGAAGCCCCGGUAAACGGCGGCCGUAACUAUAACGGUCCUAAGGUAGCGAAAUUCCUUGUCGGGUAAGUUCCGACCUGCACGAAUGGUGUAAUGAUGGCCAGGCUGUCUCCAGCAGAGACUCAGUGAAAUUGAAAUCGCGGUGAAGAUGCCGUGUACCCGCGGCUAGACGGAAAGACCCCGUGAACCUUUACUAUAGCUUGGCACUGAACAUUGGCCCUACAUGUGUAGGAUAGGUGGGAGGCUUUGAAGUUUGAACGCUAGUUCAGAUGGAGCCGUCCUUGAAAUACCACCCUUGUAUGUCUGAUGUUCUAACGUAGGCCCCUUAUCGGGGUCGCGGACAGUGUCUGGUGGGUAGUUUGACUGGGGCGGUCUCCUCCUAAAGCGUAACGGAGGAGCACGAAGGUUGGCUAAGUACGGUCGGACAUCGUACGGUUAGUGUAAUGGUAGAAGCCAGCUUAACUGCGAGACAGACACGUCGAGCAGGUACGAAAGUAGGUCAUAGUGAUCCGGUGGUUCUGUAUGGAAGGGCCAUCGCUCAACGGAUAAAAGGUACUCCGGGGAUAACAGGCUGAUACCGCCCAAGAGUUCAUAUCGACGGCGGUGUUUGGCACCUCGAUGUCGGCUCAUCACAUCCUGGGGCUGAAGUCGGUCCCAAGGGUAUGGCUGUUCGCCAUUUAAAGUGGUACGCGAGCUGGGUUUAGAACGUCGUGAGACAGUUCGGUCCCUAUCUGCCGUGGGCGUUGGAUGAUUGAGUGGAGUUGCUCCUAGUACGAGAGGACCGGAGUGAACGAACCGCUGGUGUUCGGGUUGUCAUGCCAAUGGCAUUGCCCGGUAGCUACGUUCGGAACGGAUAAGCGCUGAAAGCAUCUAAGCGCGAAGCCGGCCACAAGAUGAGUCAUCCCUCAGGCUUUAAGCCUGCUAAAGGGUCGUUGAAGACCACAACGUUGAUAGGUGAGGUGUGGAAGCGCAGUGAUGUGUUAAGCUAACUCAUACUAAUUGCCCGUGUGGCUUAACCAUACAACGCCCAAGGUGUU